CCAAGUGAUCUUUCAGUUUAAGCCUAAUAUGACAAUAAACAUGCCAAUCAUUAUGGUUUUAUUUAUUAGUCAAAAUUUAGAAAAUAUUCAUCAAAUAAAUUGGAAUAAAUUUAUGUAAUUCUCAAAUCUUCAUUUUGCUAAAUUACUUGUAAAAGCAAAUCUUAUUUUAUGAAAAUUAAUAUUGGUAUUUUUAAUUCUAAGUUGAAAUUCAUUAGUUGUGGAUUUUGUUAUGAUAAUUACUUUAAUAAAACUAAUGCACAAAAUAAUCUACUUAAAUACAAUUGGUUAGAUUUAACAUAUUCCAAUAGAAUACAGGGCUCGACAAACCCGGUAGCCAAUUGCUACCAGAAUUUCCAUUUUGGCUACCGCUUACAAACAAGUGAUAGCUAUUUGGCCACCAGCUAAUGCAAACAGCUGAUUGUAGCGACUCUGAUAUUGUAAAGGUGGCCAUAGUCCUAAUUAUAUUUAAAAUCUGAAUCUUUAGGACAAAUUUCUUCCCUGUAUGCUUUAAAUUUACC
rnacentral:lncRNA from 1 species